rnacentral:misc_RNA from 1 species
AACAUCGCGCACCUGCGGGAACCUGCGGAAGGAUCAUUAUCGAAACAUACAAGUCCGAAGUGGGGGAGAGGUAAAGGGGGGAGGACUGUCGCUGGCAUGUUGACAUGCAUGUGCACGUAGUACCCCCUUUCCUUUCCUUUCGGGCAAAACACCGUCACACCUGUGCACCUGUCGUAGGUCUUUCCUCCUACUAGGGGAAGGACCUAUGUCUCUCCAUCACACGCAUGUCUACAGAAUGUC